UAAAAGGUCCUUUUCAGGACCAUCGAAAAUGAUUCCCCCAGAAUUAU
rfam:Aedes albopictus isolate Foshan contig211234, whole genome shotgun sequence.